AGCGAACGCUGGCGGCAGGCUUAACACAUGCAAGUCGAACGCCAUCUUCGGAUGGAGUGGCAGACGGGUGAGUAACGCGUGGGAACGUACCCUUUGGUUCGGAAUAUUCUCGGGAAACUGAGAGCAAUACCGGAUAAGCCCUACGGGGGAAAGAUUAUCGCCAAAGGAGCGGCCCGCGUCAGAUUAGGUAGUUGGUGGGGUAAAGGCCUACCAAGCCUACGAUCUGUAGCUGGUCUGAGAGGAUGAUCAGCCACACUGGGACUGAGACACGGCCCAGACUCCUACGGGAGGCAGCAGUGGGGAAUCUUGGACAAUGGGCGCAAGCCUGAUCCAGCCAUGCCGCGUGGAUGAUGAAGGCCUUA
rnacentral:rRNA from 1 species